GUUGAUAAGGUUAAGUGAAUAAGGGCGCACGGUGGAUGCCUUGGCACUAGGAGCCGAUGAAGGACGGGACUAACACCGAUAUGCUUUGGGGAGCUGUAAGUAAGCUAUGAUCCAGAGAUUUCCGAAUGGGGGAACCCAAUAUCUUUUAUAGGAUAUUACUUUUCAGUGAAUACAUAGCUGAUUAGAGGUAGACGCAGAGAACUGAAACAUCUUAGUACCUGCAGGAAGAGAAAGAAAAUUCGAUUCCCUGAGUAGCGGCGAGCGAAACGGGAAGAGCCCAAACCAACAAGCUUGCUUGUUGGGGUUGUAGGACUCCAAUAUGGUAGUCUGUUAGUAUAGUUGAAGGAUUUGGAAAAUUCCGCUAAAGAGGGUGAAAGCCCCGUAGACGAAAUGCUGACAACACCUAGGAGGAUCCUGAGUACGGCGGAACACGAGAAAUUCCGUCGGAAUCCGCGGGGACCAUCCCGCAAGGCUAAAUACUCCCUAGUGACCGAUAGUGAACCAGUACCGUGAGGGAAAGGUGAAAAGCACCCCGGAAGGGGAGUGAAAUAGAUCCUGAAACCGUGUGCCUACAACAAGUCAAAGCUCGUUAAUGAGUGAUGGCGUGCCUUUUGUAGAAUGAACCGGCGAGUUACGAUUGCAUGCGAGGUUAAGUCGAAGAGACGGAGCCGCAGCGAAAGCGAGUCUGAAUAGGGCGAAUGAGUAUGUAGUCGUAGACCCGAAACCAUGUGAUCUACCCAUGUCCAGGUUGAAGGUGCGGUAAAACGCACUGGAGGACCGAACCCACGUACGUUGAAAAGUGCGGGGAUGAGGUGUGGGUAGCGGAGAAAUUCCAAACGAACUUGGAGAUAGCUGGUUCUCUCCGAAAUAGCUUUAGGGCUAGCCUCGGAAUUGAGAAUGAUGGAGGUAGAGCACUGUUUGGACUAGGGGCCCAUCUCGGGUUACCGAAUUCAGAUAAACUCCGAAUGCCAUUCAUUUAUAUCCGGGAGUCAGACUGCGAGUGAUAAGAUCCGUAGUCGAAAGGGAAACAGCCCAGACCACCAGCUAAGGUCCCAAAAUAUAUGUUAAGUGGAAAAGGAUGUGGGGUUGCACAGACAACUAGGAUGUUGGCUUAGAAGCAGCCACCAUUUAAAGAGUGCGUAAUAGCUCACUAGUCGAGUGACCCUGCGCCGAAAAUGUACCGGGGCUAAACAUAUUACCGAAGCUGUGGACUACACCAUUAGGUGUAGUGGUAGGAGAGCGUUCUAAGGGCGUUGAAGGUCGAUCGUGAGGACGGCUGGAGCGCUUAGAAGUGAGAAUGCCGGUAUGAGUAGCGAAAGACAGGUGAGAAUCCUGUCCACCGUAUGACUAAGGUUUCCUGGGGAAGGCUCGUCCGCCCAGGGUUAGUCGGGACCUAAGCCGAGGCCGAUAGGCGUAGGCGAUGGACAACAGGUUGAUAUUCCUGUACCAGUUGUUUUUGUUUGAGCAAUGGAGGGACGCAGUAGGCUAAGGAAUGCAUGCGAUUGGAAGUGCAUGUCCAAGCAAUGAGUCUUGAG
rnacentral:rRNA from 1 species